UCUCCUUUAUUUAUUUUUAAAUUGUAGUCAUAUUUCCAUGUUGUUUUCAGUCUAGCUAUAUUUUAGUCUCUUCAGGUGUUAUUCUUUACAUUAAUAUACCUAGUGACUCUUCAAUCAAAUCUGCACGGGGAAAACGGUAUAAAAACGCAAGAACUAAGUAUUUUGAUAGCAAGAAUCCUAGUAAUUAAUUAUAAGCUCUCAUCAAAAUGGAGUUGGAUGCAAAUCUGGUCAAUAACGAAAAGGAAACACUAUACUGGAAGUAAAAAUUUAUUUGUUUAAGUAUUAUUAUUUCUUUAAAAAGUGGUUUUUAUGAUCAUGUAAAUAAUAUACUUUAGUUCCAUAAGAAACCGGUCAUUUGAGUACGUAAGCCCCCCCAAAAAGUCUUGCCUUUACCAAGUAAAAUAACCCAAAAAGAUGGUUGCGAGCCUUUAUUAUUAAACCAGUUCUACAGGAAGACAUCUUAUGGGGAGUGAGCCAAGCCGAUCCAAAUUAUUCUGACAAAAUAGCAGUUGUUUGCUUCAAUGAAAUUUAUAUUAAGAAGAAAUAUGAAUAUGAUAAGUGACUCAAAAGACUAAUUGGUCCAAAUAAGAGAUACCAUGUUGUUAUUGUUUGUGGAUUGAUUAAUUAAUGGAAGUAAUCAUUUUUCAUGAUUUUAAUAAGUCCGAGGAAUAUAAGGAUUUACUUAAUUUCAUAACCCUGAAGCUAGAAAGAGCAUGAUUAAAGGUUUUUGCGAUACUGUUUGAUCUCGGAACCAUAUUCUGGUAAAAUAACUUUCAUUAAUUGCUUCGGAUAAAUUCUCGUUUGUAAAUCCAGCAGAUGUUUCCUGACAAAUUUCUAGAUGCCCCUCAUCUAGUUUAACUCAUCCGAAUCAUCUCUUCGACAAAGGAACAUUUUGGGUCCAGAUGACGGAGAGAUUAAGAUCCAUCAUAAAUUAUCUAUAGUGCAUCUCAUUGUCAUUGGAAGUGGACGGCAUAAGUCCGCAUGGCUUGUCAGCUUCUCUCGAGGACAUCUGCAUGCGCUAUAUCUUACUUCUAUGGAGAUCAGAAAUCAGUCCAAGCAAAUGCAAUCCAUAUCAUCAAUGAAUAUUAGUAUCGAAAGCGAUACGAAAAGAUUAUGAUGGUUCAUGAGAAGAUAAAAAAAUUCCAAUGUAGUUACUGUUCAAGUUAUUUUACUAUACAUUUGAAUUUUUUUAUCUUCUCAUGAACACCCUCAAUAUUCGUCUUCAAGCUUCCAGAGUGUGUAAAAUAAUUAAAGCAUUAAUCAAUUACUUAUUACUGUUCAUAAUCCCCAAAAGAGGAUCACGAAAUAAAACUAUAUUAUUAAGUGGAUUGACGUCACUCAAUUUAUUAGAAGGUUGAUGCAUAUUUUCCCUCUCAUUUUUUUUUUAAAUAUGUGUGGGGAUAAUAUAAAGGCAAGCUGAGAUACUUUUUCUCAAUAUUGCGACGUAUCCGUCGAUAUGAGUACUUUUAUUUUUAUUUAUUUCAAAAAGUGAUAGAGUCCUUAGGAGCCGCAGUUUUUAAGGUUAACUGAACCUGAUAAAAAUCGGGUAUUUCUUAUCACUGAUCAUAAAAGAUACUGAGACGUAAUGACGUGAAAAUCAAAUUUUAAGAUGAGUGUAUAAGUAUUCACGUUGCGAGAAUAACGAAAAUAACAAAGGGAUUAGUUGUUAACAACAUGCCUAACAAGCUGAAAUUGAUUAUAUUGAUGACAUCAAAAUUUGAUUGAAAGUUCAAAUACCGCGCGAUCAAAUUGACUUUACUUGUUUAUAAUAUGUUCAUGUAAAAAUUUAAACAAAUAUGAAUCAUAAUAUUACAGUUUUUCAGUGGUUUAAUAUUGUAUUUGACUCAUAAAAAAAUCAUCUUCGGUUUUUCAUUGAAGUAAAAAUUUAUAAUGCAUUUUUCUCUGUUUCAUCAAAAAAAAUCCCAGCUGGUUUAUGUUAUCGCCACACAUAUAUAUUAUAUUAUCUGUGUACUUCCUAAUUUCGGAGGGGUAGCUCCAUUAAAACUUAUAGUGAACUUAAUAAAAAAAAUAUAUAAUUAA
rnacentral:lncRNA from 1 species